AGAACGCCCAGGGCUGGAAGCCCUGGGGAGACCAGAGCAGUACCCUGCUAAAGACAGGCUAGCAGUUGCCAGCUGGUGCUUGUGAUGGGAACAGAGCUGGGAGAAGGCUCUCCAUCUUGUCCUGGUUCGUGGCCUUGGCCUUCACCGCCUGACCACUGUUGAUGAGGAUUUGCUCCUGGGACUCGCUCAUCCUGCUGAUUCACCUCUGAGGAAUUCGCACUUUGUGAGUGCAUGCCCACUGGCCAGGCAGCUGACCAGAUGCAUGCCAGGUGGCUCGGGAUCAAAAGCAUGCCACCCAUAUUUCACCAGGGGUGUGAUUGACAAGGGUCACCACGGAGGCCCUUCAGACAAAUGGAGGCCAGGGACACAGACUGCUGCCUGGGAGGCUGGCAGAACGGUGCGACCUGCCGAAAGCCCCCUUCCUGUCUCCUCUGCCAAAUUCUUUCUCCUACCAGGCAUUCUUGCAAUCAGACUUCACCUUCAUUAUCCUUCUUUACCAAGAACCAAGGAGAAAUCUCUAUCCCCAGAGCAUGCGAACCUUUGAAAACAAACAGCUCUGUCCCUCAGUGGCCACAGGCUGACCCCAGACUUCCCGUUCUCUCGCCUCGGCCUCCUAAGGGCUCAGAUUACAGGCAUCAUCAUAUCCAGCUUGACUUAGACUCUUGAAAUCUCAGUUUCUUCAGCUGAUGAAUGGGCUUGGAAAAGCCUAUUUCCCAAGCCGUGGUGAGUGCUGGUUGAGAUGACCCUCGCUGCUUCUGACUGUGACAGACUCAUCCAACAGCAGCACCCUGAACAUUCUACAGCCAGCAGAGCACAGAGGGUUAAGGAUUCAGAACUGAACCUCUCUCUCCAACAGAGGAGAAAAUAAUGCCACUUCCGGGGCACUUGAAGGACAGAUUGCUGGGGAUUGGGCUGCAAUCGGGCCUCGGAGAGAGAGAAGUGAUUGCUGCCCUCAUUAAUAUUACUGCUGGCGGAGGCUGCGUGGGACUCAAUCAGAGUAAGAUGGGAGCUCUCAGCUGUUCCUGCUACCAUGCCUUCACGCUGCCAUCAUGGACUCUGACCCUCUGAAACCGUAAGCCCUAAGUAAACGCUUUCUUUCAUAUGUUGACUUGGUGAUGGCAUUACACAGUAAUAGAAAACUAAUACACCAUUUUCGCUCAAUUAGAAGUUCUGAGGAGGGCAGAGUUGGGGGAAAGAGUGAUGUAAGACUCUGCAUGUGUGAGUGAUGUGAUCUUAUAUAUAGAAAAACCCUCAAGAAAAACUAUGGAUAUAGGUCAGUGGUAGAACACUUGCCUAGCAGUCAUAAGGCUUUGAAUUCAAUCCCUAGCAUCACCGUCAUCACCACAACAAAAGAAAGCCUUGAAGAAAGACAUCACAGACAUAUAAAACAAAACCUUUCAGAGUUAACGCAUCAGUUCAGCAAAUUUGUAGAACUGACACAGAGUUAGUCCUGGGGCUGGAGAGAUGGCCGAGGUUAAGAGCACUGGAUGCU